UUAACUCAAAUUUGUAUGGCGUUGAAACGUUUGCCUACGUUUGCCGCUAGGGGCGCUGUUCCAACUGCAUACAAAUUAGUUA
rfam:Bombyx mori DNA, contig: Bm_scaf156_contig40422, strain: p50T/Dazao, build 2, whole genome shotgun sequence.